rnacentral:misc_RNA from 1 species
GCGGAACAGCCAUCGGAGCAACGUCUCUGUCUGCAUGAACAUAUACAGCAGGUAUCAAAGGCACUUGUGGCACACCAAGCCCAGGAAGUGGAUGAGUUGGAAUAGCAGUAGCAGCCGGAGUAGCAGAACGGAAUAGCUGAAUGAGCUUUCUCACAUGCUGGUCAGUAAGUUCAGUCUUGAAAAAGUUCCGCUUCGAAUCGACAUUUUCCUUGAUUGCAUUCUUAAAGACAUCUUCAGGCAGAGGCUGGCAAUCCAGGUGAACCUUGAACCGAACCUGUGCAGGAUAGGAGCCAUUGAAGGCAGACGGUUCGAGUUUCAUCCCACCAGCUGACGUUGCUUUAUAGACCCCAUACAACAGCUUCGAGUCGAAAUCAUAGAGGAAGAGUUUCAUAUCAGGCUUGAUGUUCA